GUAUUUUGUUGAUCUGCUCAAAAAAAGCAUUCCCUAUGGUGGUUAAAGUUUUGCCCAAGACAAGGAUUCUCAAAUAUUAGAUUCUAAGCACCUGCUUGAAAUAGUAUCUUAUCGUAUUUUGGCAGCAAGUCUUGAUCAAAGCAUGUAAGCAGUGAAGCAAAUCAGAUGGUAGAUUGUUUAGCUAAUGUAUAGGAUGCUAACAACAAGAUAUCUUUUAUUAUGAUGUUAUGCCCUACCAUCUUUUAGUUGCAAGAUGACUGUUUGGGGAUUUUAUUCUCAUUUUGUAUGAUUGUAUAUUAUUUUAAAGUUCCUUUUAUGGAAAAAAAA